GACGAGCCUCACAACCGUUAUUCGGAAUUACUGGGCUUAAAGGGUGCGUAGGCGGUGCGGAAAGUUGGGUGUGAAAUCCCUCGGCUUAACCGAGGAAUUGCGCUCAAAACUACCGUGCUCGAGGGAGAUAGAGGAAUGCGGAACUUACGGUGGAGCGGUGAAAUGCGUUGAUAUCGUAGGGAACACCGGUGGCGAAAGCGGCAUUCUGGAUCUCUUCUGACGCUGAUGCACGAAAGCUAGGGUAGCAAACGGG
rnacentral:rRNA from 1 species